AGCGUACACGGUGGAUGCCCUGGCAGUCAGAGGCGAUGAAGGGCGUGCUAAUCUGCGAUAAGCGCCGGUAAGGUGAUAUGAACCGUUAUAACCGGCGAUACCCGAAUGGGGAAACCCAGUGUGACUCGUCACACUAUCAUUAACUGAAUCCAUAGGUUAAUGAGGCGAACCGGGGGAACUGAAACAUCUAAGUACCCCGAGGAAAAGAAAUCAACCGAGAUUCCCCCAGUAGCGGCGAGCGAACGGGGAGGAGCCCAGAGCCUGAAUCAGCAUGUGUGUUAGUGGAAGCGUCUGGAAAGGCGCGCGAUACAGGGUGACAGCCCCGUACACAAAAGCGCACAUGCUGUGAGCUCGAUGAGUAGGGCGGGACACGUGGUAUCCUGUCUGAAUAUGGGGGGACCAUCCUCCAAGGCUAAAUACUCCUGACUGACCGAUAGUGAACCAGUACCGUGAGGGAAAGGCGAAAAGAACCCCGGCGAGGGGAGUGAAAAAGAACCUGAAACCGUGUACGUACAAGCAGUGGGAGCACAGGUUUACCUGUGUGACUGCGUACCUUUUGUAUAAUGGGUCAGCGACUUAUAUUCUGUAGCAAGGUUAACCGAAUAGGGGAGCCGGAGGGAAACCGAGUCUUAACCGGGCGUUAAGUUGCAGGGUAUAGACCCGAAACCCGGUGAUCUAGCCAUGGGCAGGUUGAAGGUUGGGUAACACUAACUGGAGGACCGAACCGACUAAUGUUGAAAAAUUAGCGGAUGACCUGUGGCUGGGGGUGAAAGGCCAAUCAAACCGGGAGAUAGCUGGUUCUCCCCGAAAGCUAUUUAGGUAGCGCCUCGUGAAUUCAUCUCCGGGGGUAGAGCACUGUUUCGGCUAGGGGGCCAUCCCGGCUUACCAACCCGAUGCAAACUGCGAAUACCGGAGAAUGUUAUCACGGGAGACACACGGCGGGUGCUAACGUCCGUCGUGAAGAGGGAAACAACCCAGACCGCCAGCUAAGGUCCCAAAGUCAUGGUUAAGUGGGAAACGAUGUGGGAAGGCCCAGACAGCCAGGAUGUUGGCUUAGAAGCAGCCAUCAUUUAAAGAAAGCGUAAUAGCUCACUGGUCGAGUCGGCCUGCGCGGAAGAUGUAACGGGGCUAAACCAUGCACCGAAGCUGCGGCAGCGACGCUGAUGCGUUGUUGGGUAGGGGAGCGUUCUGUAAGCCUGCGAAGGUGGCCUGUGAGGGUUGCUGGAGGUAUCAGAAGUGCGAAUGCUGACAUAAGUAACGAUAAAGCGGGUGAAAAGCCCGCUCGCCGGAAGACCAAGGGUUCCUGUCCAACGUUAAUCGGGGCAGGGUGAGUCGACCCCUAAGGCGAGGCCGAAAGGCGUAGUCGAUGGGAAACGGGUUAAUAUUCCCGUACUUGGUGUUACUGCGAAGGGGGGACGGAGAAGGCUAUGUUGGCCGGGCGACGGUUGUCCCGGUUUAAGCGUGUAGGCUGGUUUUCCAGGCAAAUCCGGAAAAUCAAGGCUGAGGCGUGAUGACGAGGCACUACGGUGCUGAAGCAACAAAUGCCCUGCUUCCAGGAAAAGCCUCUAAGCAUCAGGUAACACGAAAUCGUACCCCAAACCGACACAGGUGGUCAGGUAGAGAAUACCAAGGCGCUUGAGAGAACUCGGGUGAAGGAACUAGGCAAAAUGGUGCCGUAACUUCGGGAGAAGGCACGCUGACAUGUAGGUGAAGUGAUUUACUCAUGGAGCUGAAGUCAGUCGAAGAUACCAGCUGGCUGCAACUGUUUAUUAAAAACACAGCACUGUGCAAACACGAAAGUGGACGUAUACGGUGUGACGCCUGCCCGGUGCCGGAAGGUUAAUUGAUGGGGUCAGCGCAAGCGAAGCUCCUGAUCGAAGCCCCGGUAAACGGCGGCCGUAACUAUAACGGUCCUAAGGUAGCGAAAUUCCUUGUCGGGUAAGUUCCGACCUGCACGAAUGGCGUAAUGAUGGCCAGGCUGUCUCCACCCGAGACUCAGUGAAAUUGAACUCGCUGUGAAGAUGCAGUGUACCCGCGGCAAGACGGAAAGACCCCGUGAACCUUUACUAUAGCUUGACACUGAACAUUGAGCCUUGAUGUGUAGGAUAGGUGGGAGGCUUUGAAGUGUGGACGCCAGUCUGCAUGGAGCCGACCUUGAAAUACCACCCUUUAAUGUUUGAUGUUCUAACGUGGACCCGUGAUCCGGGUUGCGGACAGUGUCUGGUGGGUAGUUUGACUGGGGCGGUCUCCUCCUAAAGAGUAACGGAGGAGCACGAAGGUUGGCUAAUCCUGGUCGGACAUCAGGAGGUUAGUGCAAUGGCAUAAGCCAGCUUGACUGCGAGCGUGACGGCGCGAGCAGGUGCGAAAGCAGGUCAUAGUGAUCCGGUGGUUCUGAAUGGAAGGGCCAUCGCUCAACGGAUAAAAGGUACUCCGGGGAUAACAGGCUGAUACCGCCCAAGAGUUCAUAUCGACGGCGGUGUUUGGCACCUCGAUGUCGGCUCAUCACAUCCUGGGGCUGAAGUAGGUCCCAAGGGUAUGGCUGUUCGCCAUUUAAAGUGGUACGCGAGCUGGGUUUAGAACGUCGUGAGACAGUUCGGUCCCUAUCUGCCGUGGGCGCUGGAGAACUGAGGGGGGCUGCUCCUAGUACGAGAGGACCGGAGUGGACGCAUCACUGGUGUUCGGGUUGUCAUGCCAAUGGCACUGCCCGGUAGCUAAAUGCGGAAGAGAUAAGUGCUGAAAGCAUCUAAGCACGAAACUUGCCCCGAGAUGAGUUCU
rnacentral:rRNA from 1 species